UUUAUGGAGAGUUUGAUUCUGGCUCAGGACGAACGCUGGCGGCGUGCUUAACACAUGCAAGUCGAACGGAAAGGCUCCAGCUUGCUGGAGUACUCGAGUGGCGAACGGGUGAGUAACACGUGGGUAAUCUGCCCUGCACUCUGGGAUAAGCCUGGGAAACUGGGUCUAAUACUGGAUAUGACCUUUCUCCUUAUGGGGUUUGGUGGAAAGUUUUUCGGUGUAGGAUGAGCCCGCGGCCUAUCAGCUUGUUGGUGGGGUGAUGGCCUACCAAGGCGACGACGGGUAGCCGGCCUGAGAGGGUGAUCGGCCACAUUGGGACUGAGAUACGGCCCAGACUCCUACGGGAGGCAGCAGUGGGGAAUAUUGCACAAUGGGCGGAAGCCUGAUGCAGCGACGCCGCGUGAGGGAUGACGGCCUUCGGGUUGUAAACCUCUUUCAGCAGGGACGAAGCGUAAGUGACGGUACCUGCAGAAGAAGCACCGGCUAACUACGUGCCAGCAGCCGCGGUAAUACGUAGGGUGCGAGCGUUGUCCGGAAUUACUGGGCGUAAAGAGCUCGUAGGCGGUUUGUCACGUCGUCUGUGAAAUCCUAGGGCUUAACCCUGGACGUGCAGGCGAUACGGGCUGACUUGAGUACUACAGGGGAGACUGGAAUUUCUGGUGUAGCGGUGGAAUGCACAGAUAUCAGGAAGAACACCGAUGGCGAAGGCAGGUCUCUGGGUAGUAACUGACGCUGAGGAGCGAAAGCAUGGGUAGCGAACAGGAUUAGAUACCCUGGUAGUCCAUGCCGUAAACGGUGGGCGCUAGGUGUGGGGUUCCUUCCACGGGCUCCGCGCCGUAGCUAACGCAUUAAGCGCCCCGCCUGGGGAGUACGGCCGCAAGGCUAAAACUCAAAGAAAUUGACGGGGGCCCGCACAAGCGGCGGAGCAUGUGGAUUAAUUCGAUGCAACGCGAAGUUGCCAGCACGUUGUGGUGGGGACUCGUAAGAAACUGCCGGGGUUAACUCGGAGGAAGGUGGGGAUGACGUCAAAUCAUCAUGCCCCUUAUGUCCAGGGCUUCACACAUGCUACAAUGGUCGGUACAGUGGG
rnacentral:rRNA from 1 species